UCACAGAUAAUUGAUGCAGGAUUAUUCACCAGAUUUGAACUGAUCCAAUCAGCCUCUCUCUUUCCGGAUGUUUGGUAAAUGAAAACCCAAAGCUGAAUGUCAUUGGAGUAAAUUCUCACUACCUUAAAAGCAUUGCGUUGUAGUUUAGCUCCCUCUUUCUUAAGUCCUGAUUACUUAGUUAUUUUCUUAAAUUUCAUAAACAAUGUUUCUGUUCCUUGACCAUUUUU
rnacentral:lncRNA from 1 species